CCCCCCCCCCCAACUCAAAUAUUUAUCUCCUAUUGGCUAUGAGUGCAUAGGGCAUUGCUUUACUGUAACCAAUUAAAAGCUCCCAUCAAACAUUUAAACUUUAUAAACGCCUACUCUUUGUUCUUAUUGGCGCCACAUUUUCUGGCGUAGUCACGUCUACUUCCAGAAAUAUUGUUUAAUAAUAACAUUACAUUAUCAACAAGUCAAUGCUAAACAAUAACAUUAUAUUAUUAGAGAAAAAAGAGAACAUGUAAACUUCACACAGGAAAUCACUCCUUCCGCAGCAACAGUUUCCUGAGGGAGGGGUGCUAAGUACAAUGAUCAACUGUUGUUUAUAUAAAUACAAUAAUAUAUAAUAAUAACUCUAAUAAUAUUUUCCCUUUGUACACACCUGUUUGUUUGUACUGUCAUGCAUCAUCAGUUUAACACACAGUAAUAGCACAUAUUUAUAUACACAAACAAAUAAGAAGCAAAAAUAAAUAUAAUGUAGAUAAAGUAAAAUGAUUCCAAACUAAUGACGUAAACUAGUGGACAACGGUGGAAGUGUGGUCGAGUACUAUUUAACAUUUAGGUUUAAUUCAGCAAGAAAAAGGAAAGUCACAGAAACGAAAGAAGCUAAAAGUUUAAUCAGAGUAAAGAGCAGAUAUUACAAUACUUUUUGGUAUAAAAACGUUUAAAAAGUGACGAUGAACGUAACCCAUUGUUGGUUAACAUUUAGCAUUGUAUGGGAACAGUUCAACAAAACAAUAAACACAAAUCUUACAAGCGCCUGUGGUCCAGUAGUUGAAGGGUCACUUGACUCAGGCCAAGAUAAACAUUGUUAGCAGAAGCAACUGGUGAUUACUGCUAUGUAACAGUUUGUAAUGAAAGUUACGUUUUAACGUGUUUUCCUGCAGAGGCUGUGCAUCUACUGUACAUAACAUCAACUGUAAUAAAAGGGUUUGUGCCACAGCCCUGUUCCAGCUUCAGUAGUUUUCAGUUGCUGCCUGUGUUCUGACUGCUGCUGACUGUCCUUUCUCUCCUCACCACAAAGCAGAUGGCCUCUCAGGGUUCUGCUUCUCCUGUCUUCUGGUGCUGCUUAGUUGGUUUUCUGUUCAACUCUGUAUUGUUGUAUUCUUGUGUUUUAUAGGGGGUUAAAUUAUCACAUUGUAAAGUGCCUUGAGAUACGAGUGAACUGGAGCUGUGCUGUAUAAAUACACUGAACUACAA